GUGGGUGGCAAGCGUUGUCCGGAAUUAUUGGGCGUAAAGCGCGCGCAGGCGGUCCUUUAAGUCUGAUGUGAAAGCCCACGGGCUCAACCGUGGAGGGUCAUUGGAAACUGGGGGACUUGAGUACAGAAGAGGAAAGCGGAAUUCCAAGUGUAGCGGUGAAAUGCGUAGAGAUUUGGAGGAACACCAGUGGCGAAGGCGGCUUUCUGGUCUGUAACUGACGCUGAGGCGCGAAAGCGUGGGGAGCAAACAGGAUUAGAUACCCUGGUAGUCCACGCCGUAAACGAUGAGUGCUAAGUGUUAGGGGGUUUCCGCCCCUUAGUGCUGCAGCUAACGCAUUAAGCACUCCGCCUGGGGAGUACGGCCGCAAAGGCUGA
rnacentral:rRNA from 1 species